CGGACGGGUGAGUAAUGUCUGGGAAACUGCCUGAUGGAGGGGGGAUAACUACUGGAAACGGUAGCUAAUACCGCAUAACGUCGCAAGACCAAAGAGGGGGACCUUCAGGCCUCUUGCCAUCGGAUGUGCCCAGAUGGGAUUAGCUAGUAGGUGGGGUAAAGGCUCACCUAGGCGACGAUCCCUAGCUGGUCUGAGAGGAUGACCAGCCACACUGGAACUGAGACACGGUCCAGACUCCUACGGGAGGCAGCAUG
rnacentral:rRNA from 1 species